UCCUUACUGAAUGUGGAAAUCAUGGGAAAU
rnacentral:piRNA from 1 species